GCCUCGGUAGUCUAAUGGCUCAGGACGCUCGUACGGUUUACAAGAGAUCCGGGUUCAAAUCCCGGCCGAGGUA
rfam:Trachymyrmex cornetzi contig18489, whole genome shotgun sequence.